rnacentral:rRNA from 1 species
GUCCACGCCCUAAACGAUGCAGACUAGACUGCAGCGGGUUACACCCCGUUGCGGUCGGAGCGAAAUUGUUAAGUCUGCCACCUGGGAAGUACGGUCGCAAGGCUAAAACUCAAAGGAAUUGACGGGGGCUCACACAAGCGGUGGAGCAUGUGGCUCAAUUCGAAGCAACGCGAAGAACCUUAUCCUGGACUUGACAUGGUAGAAGUAGGACCCAGAAAUGGUUACGACCGGUAUCCAAUCCGGAACUAUCACAGGUGCUGCAUGGCUGUCGU